UUACGGAAGGCAGCAGUGGGGAAUUGUUCGCAAUGGGCGCAAGCCUGACGACGCAACGCCGCGUGGAGGAUGAAGAUCUUCGGGUCGUAAACUCCUUUCGAUCGAGACGAACGGCCUCUGGGUGAACAAUCCAGGGGAGUGACGGUACCGAGAGAAGAAGCCCCGGCUAACUCCGUGCCAGCAGCCGCGGUAAUACGGGGGGGGCAAGCGUUGUUCGGAAUUACUGGGCGUAAAGGGCUCGUAGGUGGCCAACUAAGUCAGACGUGAAAUCCCUCGGCUUAACCGGGGAACUGCGUCUGAUACUGGAUGGCUUGAGUUUGGGAGAGGGACGCGGAAUUCCAGGUGUAGCGGUGAAAUGCGUAGAUAUCUGGAGGAACACCGGUGGCGAAGGCGGCGUCCUGGACCAACACUGACACUGAUGAGCGAAAGCCAGGGGAGCAAACGGGAUUAGAUACCCCGGU
rnacentral:rRNA from 1 species